UUGGCAGUGGAUGUAAAGGCAUCUUGCCGGAGGUUCCUGCUUACCUGAGGCAUUCUAAAGCUUGGAGCUGAGGAACCGCUUUCCAUCUGGAACCAUGCGGAAUUUCUGCAUUUGAGAUAUUUAACCUGACUUUAAUUUGAGUCGAAACGUCUGAUAUUUCUGAUAGUAAUACCGUGCCGGGGAUGGGGGGGGGGGGACCGGCAGCUCUCCCUUCACCCGCCCCAGCCGGUCCCUGUUAAGCGAUUCCUGACAUGCGAGCGGCAGACGGGGCCGGAGCCUGAUCGGAUCUGGGCAGCCGCCGGGCGGUGGCAGCGUGAGGGGUCCGAAGAAACCCAAUCGCUCCCACGGCUUCCUCCGGCCUCGUCCCUGCGCUGCCCUGGGGAAGUGCUGCUGGGAGCUGCCAGCGUCCUGCGGGCUCGUUUUGUUUUGGUUUGGAAUGCCACAGUUGCGAAAUCUCAAUGUAAAGUUCCCCCGUACUGCGGCCCCUUCCUUACGCUUCAUUGUUGUCUUAGAAGAAAGCGUUACUUGAAGAAACAUUGUGUCACUGCAAAUGGGGCUUUCUGACGCUGGCACAGACUCUGAGGAAGACUCUGUAAUCCAAACGAAGCUGAGACCAAGACCGGCCCUUGUCCUGCAGGGGGUUCAGAUGAUGCAGGGUCUGAGGAAAUCCCCUCCUUCCUCCCCACGCCCGUUGCGAUGGGCAGGGAGCACCGGCUGUGCUGGAGCAAAAGAUCCCAAUGGAUCAGGACCAGUGCUCAGGCAUCAGAGUGGGGGACAACGCAUGGGUACCUGGAGAGGUGGGGACGGAGAGGCAGACCAAAGCCAGGAUGGGGCUGCAGUGGUGGGGAAGGGCCUCCAGCCUGCAAAGUAAGGGUUUGUGGGGCUGCUUCCUGGCUCAGGCAUUAAAACCUCACUGGGUUGUUAUAAUCUGUGUUAGAUUUAAACAGUGCAAUAAAUGCUUCAGUUUAUUGA